AAUCAUGGACAAUGGUGGAAACCCUGAUCCAUCCAUCCCGCGUGUGCUAUGAAGGCCUUCGGGUUGUAAAGCACUUUUGUCAGGGAAGAAAUCGUACAGGCUAAUAUCCUGUCCGGAUGACGGUACCUGAAGAAUAAGCAUCGGCUAACUACUCGCCAGCAGCCGCGGUAAUACGUAGGUUGCAAGCGUUAAUCGGAAUUACUGGGCGUAAAGGGGGCGCAGGCGGUUUAUAAAGAAAGGUGUGAAAUCCCCGGGCUUAACCUGGGAAUGGCACUUUUAACAGAUAGGCUAGAGUAUGUCAGAGGGGGGUAGAAUUCCACGUGUAGCAGUGAAAUGCGUGGAGAUGUGGAGGAAUACCGAUGGCGAAGGCAGCCCCCUGGGAUAAUACUGACGCUCAUGCACGAAAGCGUGGGGAGCAAACA
rnacentral:rRNA from 1 species